rnacentral:rRNA from 1 species
UGGGGAAUCUUCCGCAAUGGGCGAAAGCCUGACGGAGCAACGCCGCGUGAGUGAUGACGGCCUUCGGGUUGUAAAGCUCUGUUAUAUGGGACGAACGGGCAUGGGGCCAAUACCCUCAUGCAGUGACGGUACCGUAAGAGAAAGCCACGGCUAACUACGUGCCAGCAGCCGCGGUAAUACGUAGGUGGCAAGCGUUGUCCGGAAUUAUUGGGCGUAAAGGGCGUGUAGGCGGCCAGACAAGUCUGUCUUAAAAGUGCGGGGCUCAACCCCGUGAUGGGAUGGAAACUGUCGGGCUAGAGUGUCGGAGAGGAAAGCGGAAUUCCUAGUGUAGCGGUGAAAUGCGUAGAUAUUAGGAGGAACACCAGUGGCGAAAGCGGCUUUCUGGACGACAACUGACGCUGAGGCGCGAAAGCCAGGGGAGCAAACG